ACCUGGGUGGCUCAGUGGGUUGAGCAUCCGACUUUGGCUCAGGUCAUGAUCUCACAGUUCGUGGGUUCAAGCCCCACAUCGGGCU
rnacentral:tRNA from 1 species